rfam:Manacus vitellinus contig46824, whole genome shotgun sequence.
CCAAAGGCUCUUUUCAGAGCCACCUACAGCAUCACUAAAGAGCUA